UGGAUCAUGUGUUUAAUUCGAUACGAUACGCGAAGAACCUUACCAGGUCUUGACAUCCCCCGCGAUGCUUUAGAGAUAAAGCGGAGGUAUUCGGGGAGACAGGUGGUGCAUGGUUGUCGUCAGCUCGUGUCGUGAGAUGUUGGGUUAAGUCCCGCAACGAGCGCAACCCCUAUUGCUAGUUACCAUCAUUAAGUUGGGGACUCUAGCGAGACUGCCAGUGAUAAACUGGAGGAAGGUGGGGGAUGACGUCAAAUCAUCAUGCCCCUUAUGACCUGGGCUACAAACGUGAUACAAUGGCUGGAACAAAGGGAUGCGAAGCAGUGAUGUGGAGCGAAACCCAUAAAAACAGUCUCAGUUCGGAUUGAAGUCUGCAACUCGACUUCAUGAAGUCGGAAUCGCUAGUAAUCGCGGAUCAGAACGCCGCGGUGAAUACGUUCUCGGGGUUU
rnacentral:rRNA from 1 species